rnacentral:rRNA from 1 species
AAUAUUGUCCGGAGCCGUGAAGGGUUCCGGGGAAAGGGAGGCCUCUGAUACAAGCUUUCGCCUUAAGAUGAGCCCAUGGCCCAUCAGCUAGUUGGUAGGGUAAAGGCCUACCAAGGCUACGACGGGUCGCUGGUCUGAGAGGACGACCAGCCACACUGGCACUGAGAUACGGGCCAGACUCCUACGGGAGGCAGCAGUGAGGAAUAUUGCGCAAUGGGGGAAACCCUGACGCAGCAACGCCGCGUGUGGGAAGAAGGCCUUCGGGUCGUAAACCACUUUUGCACGGGACGAAAAGGGAUAUCGAACAAAUAUCCCCGAUGACGGUACCGUGAGAAUAAGCCACGGCUAACUCUGUGCCAG